rnacentral:rRNA from 1 species
AACGAACGCUGGCGGCAUGCCUAACACAUGCAAGUCGAACGAGACCUUCGGGUCCAGUGGCGCACGGGUGCGUAACGCGUCGGAACCUGCCCUUAGGUUCGGAAUAACUCCCCGACAGGGGUGCUAAUACCGGAUAAUGUCUUCGGACCAAAGAUUUAUCGCCUUUGGAUGGCCCCGCGUUGGAUUAGCUAGUUGGUAGGGUAAAAGCAUACCAAGGCGACGAUCCAUAGCUGUGCUGAGAGACUGACCAGCCACACUGGAACUGAGACACGGCCCAGACUCGUACGGGAGGCAGCAGUGGGGAAUAUAGGACAAUGGGCGAAAGCCUGAUCCAGCAAUGCCGCGUGAGUGAGGAAGGCCUUAGGAUUGUAAAGCUAUUUUACCCGGGAUGAUAAUGACAGUACCGGGAGAAUAAGCUCCGGCUAACUCCGUG